CUUUAAGGGUCCUGAAGGAACGUUGAAGACGACGACGUUGAUAGGCCGGGUGUGUAAGCGCAGCGAUGCGUUGAGCUAACCGGUACUAAUGAACCGUGAGGCUUAACCUU
rnacentral:rRNA from 11 species